UACGAAGGGGGCUAGCGUUGCUCGGAAUCACUGGGCGUAAAGGGUGCGUAGGCGGGUUUUUAAGUCAGGGGUGAAAUCCUGGAGCUCAACUCCAGAACUGCCUUUGAUACUGAAGAUCUUGAGUCCGGGAGAGGUGAGUGGAACUGCGAGUGUAGAGGUGAAAUUCGUAGAUAUUCGCAAGAACACCAGUGGCGAAGGCGGCUCACUGGCCCGGUACUGACGCUGAGGCGCGACAGCGUGGGGAGCAAACAGG
rnacentral:rRNA from 1 species